UCCAGACUCUUAGAAUAUCUCUGCUGAAGGGUGGUGGAAGGACUGCAGUUCUGGGGAACACAGACAAUGUUUCUGCACAAGCUGGACACGAUCAUGAAGAAAUUUCACCUACAGUCAAUUCUGUUUCACCUUUCUAAGCUUUAUUAUUAUCAACAACAACUGAAUGAACUGAGCAACUAGCCCAUGGCAGUCUCCUGGUGGUAAGCAGAAGUUCCUGUGUUGCAGCCACAGUCCUGCUGGGGCUGUGGGACAUUCCCAGGGGCAAAGCACUGCGGGGAAGGCUGCAGCUCAUUUGCAAAACUGAAGUCUUCAAAGAUGCUUGAGCUGCACCCAGUUCAAAUCAAAAAGGUCAACUUCCAGCCACUUAAAGUCCCUCAGGAUGAUCCUUGACAAGGAGCCUGGCAUGCACUCGGGCACAGGAUCCACCCUGCUGAGCCUCUGAGGCUGGAGGAGGAGAGGCCAGGACUGCCACAGGGCCAGCCUGAGGAGCCACAGGCGAUGUGUCACGGUGACCAACUUGUGCAAGCUGCCAACCAGGCAGGGAGGGUCAGCCUCAGCUGGCAGCCACAGUGAGCCACGAGCUUACCUGAUGAGGACAGAGGUAAUAUCUGAAGGACAAUAUGGAUUUCAUUCUGUCAAGAAACAAGACUCCUUGUGCCAAGGCCCAGGGAGGAUGGGAAUCUUAGAGCAGAAAUAAACAGCUUUUGUUUCCUAACCUUCCAGUGGCAUUUACCAAUACUGU